rnacentral:rRNA from 1 species
CUCCCGGGCUGCCCGACUGGUAGAGAGACCGGUACAGUGAAACUGCGAAUGGCUCAUUAAGUCAGUUAUGGUUCCUUUGAUCGCUCACGUUGCUUGUAUAACUGUGGCAGUUCUAGAGCUAAUACAUGUCAACAAGCGCUGACAUCUGGGGAUGUGUGCAUUUAUCAGACCCAAAACCCAUGCGCGCUUUGGUGACUAGAUAAUCUCGAGCUGAUCGCUGGCCCCCGUGGCGGCAACAUCUCAUUCGAAUGUCUGCCCUAUCAACUUUCGAUGGUAUUUUCUGUGCCUACCAUGGUGACCACGGGUAAUGGGGAAUCAGGGUUUGAUUCCGGAGAGGGAGCCUGAGAAACAGCUACCUCAUCCAAGGAAGGCAGCCGGCACGCAAAUUACCCACUCUCGACUUGGGGAGGUAGUGACGAAAAAUAAUACAGGACUCUUUCGAGGCCCUGUAAUUGAAAUGAGUAUACUUUAAAUCCUUUAAUAAGGAUAAAUUGGAGGGCAAGUCUGGUGCCAGCAGCCAUGCUAAUUCCAGCUCCAAUAGCGUAUCUUAAAGUUGCUGCAGUUAAAAAACUCAUAGUUGGAUCUUGGGAUUGAGCUGACGGUCCACCGUGAGGCAAGUUACCGUCUGUCCCAGCCCCUGCCUCUCGACGCCCCCUCGAUGCUCUUAGCUGAGUGUCCCACGGGGUCCAAAACAUUUACUUUGAAAAAAAUUUGAGUGUUCAAAGCAGGCCCGUUCGCCUGAAUACCGCAGCUAGGAAUAAUGGAAUAGGACUCCGGUUCUAUUUUGUGGGUUUUCUCUCUGAACUGGGGCUAUGAUUAAGAGGGAUGGCCGGGGGCAUUCGUAUUGUCCCGCUAGAGGUGAAAUUCUUGGACCGGCACAAGAGAGACGAAAGCGAAAGCAUUUGCCAAGAAUGUUUUCAUUAAUCAAGAACGAAAGUCACAGGUUCAAAGACGAUUAGAUGCUGUCGUAGUUCCGACCAUAAACAAUUCCAACUAGCGAGCCAGUCACGUUAAUAAUGCUCAUGAGCUUAUAACCUGCAUUUGCUUUAUCUGGUAAAGCUGAUGAUGAUGAGGUCUUGGGGCCGAAAUGAUCUCAACCUAUUCUCAAACUUUAAAUGGGUAAGAAGCCCGGCGUGGAAUGCGAGCCACCUAGUUGGGCCACUUUUGGUAAGCAGAACUGGCGCUGCAGGAUGAACCAAGCGUCGGGUUAAGGCACCCGAUGCCGAUGCUCAUCAGACCCCAGAAAAGGUGUUUGCUGAUAUAGACAGCAGGGCAGUGGCCAUGGAAAUCAGAAUCCGCUAAGGAGUGUGUAACAACUUGCCGAAUCAACUAGCCCUGAAAAUGGAUGGUGUCAGGCCUAUACCCGCAGCAGGAGCUGCGAGGGCUAUGCUGCAAUGAGUAGGAGGGCAGCCGUGGUGAGCACGGAAGCCUAGGGUGCGGGCCCGAGUAGAGCCACCAGGGGUGCAGAUUUUGGUGGUAGUAGCAAAUAUUCAAACGAUAACUUUGAAGGCCGAAGUGGAGAAGGGUUCCUUGUGAACAGCAGUUGAACAUGGGUCAGUCGGUCCUAAGGGAUGGGAAAACACCGUUUGGAAGGGUGGGGCCAUGGCCUACGUCGGCCCCGGCUGAUCGAAAGGGAGUUGGGUUCAGAUCCUCGAAUCUGGAGUGGCGGAGACAGGCGCCGCGAGGCAUCCAGUGCGGUAACGCAAACUAUCCCCGAGAAGCUGGCGGGAGCCCCAGGGAGAGUUCUAUUUUCUUUGCGAAGGGCA